GGUCAAGGAUGGACUCGCGGCCUAUCAGGUAGUUGGUGAGGUAACGGCCCACCAAGCCUACGACGGGUAGCCGGCCUGAGAGGGUGACCGGCCACACUGGGACUGAGACACGGCCCAGACUCCUACGGGAGGCAGCAGUGGGGAAUAUUGCACAAUGGGCGCAAGCCUGAUGCAGCAACGCCGCGUGAGGGAUGACGGCCUUCGGGUUGUAAACCUCUUUUAGUAGGGAAGAAGCGAAAGUGACGGUACCUGCAGAAAAAGCACCGGCUAACUACGUGCCAGCAGCCGCGGUAAUACGUAGGGUGCGAGCGUUGUCCGGAAUUAUUGGGCGUAAAGAGCUCGUAGGCGGUCUGUCGCGUCUGCUGUGAAAUCCCGAGGCUCAACCUCGGGCCUGCAGUGGGUACGGGCAGACUAGAGUGCGGUAGGGGAGAAUGGAAUUCCUGGUGUAGCGGUGGAAUGCGCAGAUAUCAGGAGGAACACCGAUGGCGAAGGCAGUUCUCUGGGCCGUAACUGACGCUGAGGAGCGAAAGCGUGGGGAGCGAACAGGAUUAGAUACCCUGGUAGUCCACGCCGUAAACGUUGGGCGCUAGAUGUGGGGACCAUUCCACGGUUUCCGUGUCGCAGCUAACGC
rnacentral:rRNA from 1 species